rnacentral:rRNA from 1 species
CAACUCGCCUGCAUGAAGUCGGAAUUGCUAGUAAUCGCGGAUCAGCAUGCCGCGGUGAAUACGUUCUCGGGCCUUGUACACACCGCCCGUCACACCAUGGGAGUCGGUAACACCCGAAGUCUGUAGCCUGACGCAAGAGGGCGCAGCCGAAGGUGGGAUUGAUGACUGGGGUGAAGUCGUAACAAGGUAUC